GGGUGUGCAGCCGUGACUCUGUCCUUUCCUCAGUACCUUCCGUGUGCUCAGCACUUGACCUGGAUUUGUUUCUUUACUCCUCACAACUCUGAAAGGCAAAGAACCAUUUCUGUCCCACCUUACAGAUGAGGAAAUUUAUCCAGUUUUGCAGCCAUUUUUCUUUUCUUACUGACUGUUCGAUAUUUGUAAAGAAAUCCAUUUCUACUUCAGUUAGUAAUAUGCUAAUCAACAACAAAAUGAUUAAGUCGCAGGAUCCAAUAUGGGACGCUGGUGCACCCCAGCAGAGUCCAUGCCAGAAAGGGAAGACUGCGAGGUCCAUGGUGCAGAAGAAGGCUUCAGAAGAAUCCCUCCCGCUGGCCUCCAUUGUAAGGGUGCGAGUCAGUCAUGUAGCCAGGCCGCGAGGGAACUAACACAGAGCACACCAGGUGUGGUGGGGAAGAAGAGGCAAGAAGUGUGGGGAAGCUCCAAAGCGCGGAUACUUCUGGAGGAGAUCUACAGAGGAGCAUUCAUCACAAUUUGUAAGUGCGGUUGUUCUCACUUAUCCACGGUUUCAGUUACCCAAGAUGGAUAAUAGUGCCUGUUGCCAAAGAGCUGAUAUUUCGCACAAAUCCUGAGCUGUGAGUUGUGAGAGCCAGUACUUGGGUGAAGUUAACACCUGCCUCAUCCUUAAGGAGAAGAAGUAAGGAUGUGAUUUGGGGAGGGGGAUUCCCAAUCUGCCAGUUCAUUUAAGCUUCCAACUUCACGGAUUCCAGAUACAGAUACAGAGGAGCCUUCAAAAUGUUCUGUAGAAACCAGACUUCAUUGUAAAGCUCUUUAUUCGCUGCAAAAAAAAACAAAACAAAAACAAAUACGUACAAAUAAAGUAUGUUUUAAAGUAAGAAAUAUAUUCUCU
rnacentral:lncRNA from 13 species